UCCGAUAUGGUCUAGUGGCUAGGAUAC
rnacentral:piRNA from 1 species